rnacentral:rRNA from 1 species
AGUGAACGCUGGCGGUAGGCCUAACACAUGCAAGUCGAACGGCAGCACAGGAGAGCUUGCUCUCUGGGUGGCGAGUGGCGGACGGGUGAGGAAUACAUCGGAAUCUACUCUGUCGUGGGGGAUAACGUAGGGAAACUUACGCUAAUACCGCAUACGACCUACGGGUGAAAGCAGGGGACCUUCGGGCCUUGCGCGAUUGACUGAGCCGAUGUCGGAUUAGCUAGUUGGCGGGGUAAAGGCCCACCAAGGCGACGAUCCGUAGCUGGUCUGGGAGGAUGUUCAGCCACACUGGAACUGAUACACGGUCCAGACUCCUACGGGAGGCAGCAGUGGGGAAUAUUGGACAAUGGGCGCAAGCCUGAUUCAGCCAUACCGCGUGGGUGAAGAAGGCCUUCGGGUUGUAAAGCCCUUUUGUUGGGAAAGAAAUCCAGCUGGCUAAUACCCGGUUGGGAUGACGGUACCCAAAGAAUAAGCACCGGCUAACUUCGUGCCAGCCGCCGCCGUAA